rnacentral:rRNA from 1 species
CAGAGGAAGCUUAGUGUGUAGGAUCGGUUCGAGGCUUUGUGAGUAAGUGUCGGAGCCAACAGUGGAGUCCGAGUCCAACGUUGAAAAGCGGUACCCUUCCUCCGGACGAGCCACGAUAGCGGUCUAGUUCUUGUUCGGUGGGGUUCAGUGCCAUGACGGCGUCCCACGGCCUGGGGUUCUAAGCGUAGAAGCUGCACCCCGUCUUCUUCGCACCGCACCUGCUCAAUGGCGACACGCACGUGGACCACUCGACCCUGUUCCUCUUGCACUGUUCGUUCCGGAACCUCCGCCGGGCCUAACGGACGUUGUUCAUGUACCGGUUCGUGCGGCCGUUCCUGCGGAAGGUGGAGACGCACGCGCGCGUGGGGAUGGUACAGGAGGCGUAGUUGUUCUACGAGAGGACGCGGCCGCAGCUGGCUGAUGUCUGGCCGUACGCGCCGCGGAAGCCGUUCGGGUGCCCUUACACGCGCGCCCACGUAUAGCCGGUCCACGACGAGAGGGACGCGACGGCGCUGCGCGUGUGCCGGGUGUGCGUCCUCCGCAACGCGGCCCGGUUCAAGUUCAAGGGGCCUGCGGUCUCCCAGUAGCAGUCGCCGUUUACCCCUAAGUGGUUCAAAUUCGCGCUUCUCAUACAGUUCGAGUCCUCGCUCCCGGCGUAGUAGGGGCUACCACAGUUGCGGUUCAACGACUGAACCGUGCCCAGCGAGGUCCCUGCGGACGCUCCCUUUCCACAGAAAGGUGGGAGGCAGCGACCUAGCCGAACUUCUAAUGUUGGAGUAGUUGUAGACAGAGGGGCAUAAGUAUGCUCUCGUGCACAGUCGGGAGCAGCCCAGGCCGGACGCAUAGCUAAGAUGGUACAGUAUACAACACUGUACUCAACAGUAUGCGUGCACGUCUCAACACAGCUUAUAAUAAUAUAUUCAAUCCAAUGUCAACUUGAACUUCAGCAUGCCACACAUCUGUCCUAUACCUCAGCACAAGUUCAUCUUUUGAACAUAGAAUCCGGAAAGUAUAUAUCGCCCCCAUCUGCGUGCUACAUUGAAUACGGUCGCAUUAUCGUAUCCGUGCGUCCCCUCGGCCGCCGCACACGGCCGCGGGCCCGCCGGCCCCACGCCAUAACACUGCCACAGUACCCUUCCUCGCAGGCAUCAGUACGGAGCCCCUACAUCGGUAUAGCUACUUGGAGCAAUAGUUUAAAGCC